rnacentral:pre_miRNA from 1 species
CUGUGUUUAGAAGGAAGGCAGUGUAAUGUUAGCUGGUUGGAAAAUAGCAGACACUGGUUAACUUACACCUGCCCCCCUUCUUUACAUUAG